rnacentral:misc_RNA from 1 species
AUGGCGGUUUAGGAUUGGUACUUGUACAAAUUUGGAUGAGAAAAUAUAACAAUUAUGUAGAAUUUUACAACAUUUUAAGCUCUCUAAGCAGGAGGUGGAUACCAUGGCAUCCGAGAGGGUGGACUGGGUCGAGAUUGUCGAACCUCGUACCAAAGAACACAUUUAUGCUAAUCUGGCUACCGGCGAUUGCCUGUGGAAUCCUCCACCUGGAGUCAAAAUUAAAAAGACAGAUGAUAAUCAGUGGUGGGAAUUAUUUGAUCAGAACACCUCUAAGUUUUAUUACUACAAUGCUUCAAGCCAGAAAACAGUCUGGCACAGACCAGAAAACUGUGACAUCAUUCCUCUGGCUAAACUUCAGACUCUUAAACAAAACACAGAAGUACCAGAUGAAGAAAAAGUAGAUGUCAGAAAAGAAUCAGUUGGAACCCAAACUGUAGUUGAAGGACUUAUGCAAGAAGUACUUCCUCAAUCCACCAAGUCUGCAGGUGUAUCUGUCUCAACACAAACCAGCCCUGUCUCUUCUCCCCAGUUGCCACAUAAACACCAUUAUCAACACAAUCACCAUCACUACCAUAAAUACACCAUAAAUCCUUCUUCGCCUUUCCAUCAUUCUGAUGCAGGUCAGUUUUUCAAUGGAGAUGCGCAAGAAGAGGCUCACCCAGUUGGUGACCAGUACUGUCAGACAUCUUUGUAUUCUCGGGCUUCUCGAGACUCUGGACGCUCUAGUGACUCUAGCUCAGUCUCUCAAAGUCAGAACACUUUGAAAAGUAGUAGUUAUGCUGGAAUUAGCAGGAAACAUGAUUCAUCUGCUUUUGCUGUUUCAUCUGCUUUAAGUGACCCCUUUCAACCAGCAUUCAGACAUUGCUUCAACACAGAAUUCUCUCAACAGACUUCACUUAACCCAGAGCAUUUGAAUUUUCUGGGCUCAUGGAAACACCACAGUAUAGACUCUUCAUCCAUAAGAGAAUGGGAUUCAAAUUGCACUCCAGCUUAUAAAGACCAUGGAAGUUGGCAUUUAGGAAGAUCACAGCAUUUGGAACAUCUGCAUCGGCGGCAUCACAGUGAAGUGGUAUCAUCUAGUCAGAGAGAAGAUGCUGUGCUUUACAGGUAUGCAGUCUCUGAGAAAUUUUCCACAAAUAGAAAACAACUGUCCCAAAGCACAAUUGCUAGUCCAUCAGCGACUGACAUGAGCCGACUCAAGACCAUGGAAUCAAGUGCAGAAUCCUUCAGAAAGAAACAUAGCUCACCUGGAAGUUCCACUCUGUCUUCAGAUUCUCCAUUCCAAGGAUCUGAAACUAGCCAUGAGAGUCAUGGGCAGGCCUUAACAAGAACUAAAUGGACAAACCAAGACAAUCAAGAACCUCCAUGCCUCUCAUCCAAAAGGGAUGAUGAGGAUGAUGUUUCUCUAGAAUCUUACUUUAACAAUUCCUUUUUGAGCAGUUUCCAGCAAGAUAACAGAAAAUGUUCCCACAGUGUUGAACAAAAACCAGUACCCUUGUAUAAUAACCUGGACUAUCCUGCUUUGUGGGAUCAUAACAUCGAUAACCGUUCUUACUUACUGCCGUUACAGCACUACUUAAUGGAACAAGCCAAGUUGUUUGGGUACAAGUUUGGAGACCUUUAUUGUGAUGACAAGGAUUCUUUGUCUCCAAGUGAUGAAUCAGAAGGUAGGCAUAAUGAAGAUGAUGACUUUGCAGAUGAUGAAGGAAUGAGCCAUCAAGACUCAUCAUCUCAAGAAUAUCUAGAUGAGACAAGGUUUUUAGGCUAUGAUGAUGACAAGCCUCUUACUCCUCCAUGUCGGUCAAAGAACAGAGCCAGUCAUAAGUUAGUAGACCUGAGGCUAGAAAUGGAUUUUGGUGAAAGUGACAAUAGCAGCAUCUUCUCAACAUCUUCUCCAGUGUUACAACACCGUAGUGGACCUGCAACACCAUCCUCCCUGACAUUGAACACACAACAUGCCUCUCUUUGUCGUAAGCACUCAGAAUCACCCCCUCUCUACUCCCCUGUACUUGAGAAGUCUCAGUCUUUCCAGCCAAACAUGGGUCAAGCAACUAACCAGCGUCCAUUGUCUAUGAUGGUUUCUAGCAUGACAGAAGGUAUUGUCUCAGGAAAUGUAAUCCAACCAUCUUUUGAUAGACAAGCUGAUAGCAAGAUGACCACUGGUUUUUACUGGAAUAAAAAACCACCAUCAGAAAGUGACAUAGAGAAAUAUGCUCAGGACAACUUCAAUAGACACAAAAAGGGAAUUUUCAGAAAAAAAUUUACAAUUCAAGAUAUGCUGACAUGGUCAAAGGACCCAAUCAGGAAGCCUAUGAUAAUGACCACAGAUAAAUCUUUAAAAAGGGAUGCAUGUGAACUUUUCAAGCUAAUUCAGACAUAUAUGGGUGAUCGCAAAGCCAAAAGUGGACAAACAGUUGAUGCAAUAGUGCUUGAUAUAGCCACUAGGGGAUGGAGUAGACAGUCAUUACGUGAUGAGCUUUACAUUCAGAUUUGUCGUCAAACCAAUGAUAAUCCAAAGAAGGAAAGUCUGAAGUUAGGUUGGGAAUUGAUGGCUAUCUGUCUGUCGUUCUUCCCACCGUCUAUAAAGUUUCAACCGUACCUAGACAGCUACAUCAGCCGCCACAAAGAUGAAACAAGCCUUGAUACACCUGAGCUUAGGGUUAGCCAGUAUGCUGCUAUUUGUAGUAAAAGAUUGGAAAGAAUAGGACAGAGUGGAGCUAAGAAAGGAUUAAAAAAACCAACACUUGAAGAAAUAGAACAGUCUAGAAUCCAAAUUUUUCGGCCUUCCAUGUUUGGCAACACACUGGAAGAAGUAAUGGCAUUACAGAAGGAUCGGUGUCCAAGUCGCAGCCUACCCUGGAUCCAGACCACCCUCUCAGAGAGUGUUUUACAGUUGAAUGGAGCUCAGACAGAAGGUAUCUUCAGAGUACCAGGAGACAUUGAUGAAGUAAAUGCUAUGAAGUUGAGAAUGGAUCAGUGGGAAAUGCCCGAGUGCAAUGAUCCACAUGUCCCUGCAUCCCUUCUGAAACUGUGGUACAGAGAACUCUAUGAGCCUCUUAUUCCUGACGAGUUCUACAAUGAGUGUAUAGAAUAUUGUAAUGAUCCAGAAUCUGCAUUGAGUAUCGUAGAAAGAUUACCAGAAAUUAACCAACUAGUUUUAUCCUACUUGAUAAGAUUUUUACAGGUUUUUGCAGCUGAAGAAAAUGCUUCUGUGACCAAAAUGAAUGCUAAUAACCUGGCUAUGGUUAUGGCCCCAAACUGCUUACGCUUUAUGUCUGAUGACCCAAGAAUUAUUUUUGAGAAUACAAGAAAAGAAAUGGCCUUUGUAAGAACAUUGAUUCAGAAUUUUGAUACAAGUUAUAUGGAAGGAGUGAUCUGAUACCUCAAGGAAUACAACAAUUUAUAAUGUAAAGUGAUUGAUUAUAUGAACAGAAAUUAUUUAUGAAUAUAGUAAAUUAAAUUAUAAAAAAAAGUAAUUUUUAUGAUGCUGAGAGUAGUUACAUUAUUCUGUGAGGUUUGUGAUGAGACCGGUGAGCUUAUAUUAAAUGUCUUGUAUUAUCUGUUAAUACAAAAAAUAGCAAUUAAUAAAAAAAAAAACUGAUUUCUUUAUGCAGAAACAUGUAACCUCAAUUUUUAUUUUAUUUUAUCAAACCUAUAUAAUUCAUUUCUGUUAACUGGUCUCUUUAAUGUCCUACUAAAUCCAUACUGUACUGUAGUAGUUUAAAAAAAAUAAGCAUUAUUGCUGAUAUCACUUCUGUGUACAGUAUUUGUUAGCACAUUUUCUGCCAGAAUUUGGUGAUAUUGAAUAUGUAUCAUAUUUAUUUUUUUGACAAAUGUCUACUUGUGGAGUGAACAAGUUUGUUUCUUUUAAGUUAAUCUUUUUUUUUUCCGUGAUAAGAUUUAGACACCAGAACUUUUAUUACAUAUAAGAACAUAUCCAUGAUUGUCAUGUAAGGAUAGAGACUGUUGAACACAUUCUUUCAUAAUUCGUUGAUCAAAAUGGUAAUUCUGGUGCUUAGAAUAAAGAUAUGCUUAAGAGUAAGUUCUGGAACUCCUUCUUUUUUAUUUUUAUUGUUUCUUUAGUUUAAUUUUUUGGUUAUUAUCAGUUGUUUUGUUGACAAGAAAGAGCAACAGAAACUGCACCAGUUUUGUUUAGUUUAUACUUUUCAAAGAAAUAGAAAACAUUUCUAUGCAUUUUCUGGCUGUGGUAUUAUUGACUUUCAUCAGUUGAUGAUUUUAUAAUCUACUAUAAAGUAACUUUUAAAAUUUGUGAUAAGGUGUUACAUUACAGUGGAUUCUGUACAAAAUAUUGAUCCAGCUACAAUGUUACAUAGCUAAUGCAAUUCCAGUUAUUUUAAUAAGCAAGUUAACAUAUUAAAGGAAUUAACAAUUAUUUCAUGAGACUAAGAAAAAUACUUAAUUUUUUUAAUAAAUCGUUUUAUAUUCUGAUUUUUCAAGACACUAACUGGGAAUUCGAGGCAUGGGUUUGACAGCACCUAGCAACACCUGUGCUGUUAAUUGCAAUAAUAUUUUAUAUGCAUUUGUUAACAAAUGUAUUUUGUUGUAUAAAAUUUUUAUCUGUUAGUAGUGUGUUUUGCUGUGAAGAAAACAAAAGUUACUGUUAAAAUAAAACAAAGCUGUAGCUUCAGUACUUCCUAGGGUUAAAAGAAUAGGGUGAGUGUACUUCAGUUAAGUAAAAAUGUAUUGUGUGAAAAGUUCAAUAUUAUCAAUUUAUAUAUAUUUUCAUUUUUUCACAACACUGUUUCAUAUAUAUAUAUAUAUAUAUAUAUAUAUUAUUAAUAAUGAGACUAUACAUAAAGCAGGAAACAAAAACUGAUAAGAAAUGUGAACUCCUAAAGGUACUUCAGAUUAACGUACUUUUAUGAUCCUUCUUAUCAUCAUCACCAUUACAGUUAUUAUUCAAAAACUAUAAACCGUACACUGCUUAUUUUACUUUUUUCAGCAAAUGUUUUACAUUAUGAGUCUUUUUUUUUGCCUUAACCUGCAUCAAUUGUGCAGUGCAUUUUAAAUAUAAAAUAUAAAAUACGUUGUUAAAAAUCUACUUAAGUGAAGCGUGGGUGAGAGUGGACAGGAUAAGGAAGCAUGUUGUGCUUUGUUUCGUAGUACUUAUUUCCUCUUAUUGGAAACAACAUUUAGACUACUCUGAAUGACCAAUAUAAUCUUAUUGAUGGUAUCACGUACUGUUAUUUUUGAACAUGCUGAUUUACAUAGUUUGCAAGCCAUUGACGAGUUAACUCCAGUUUUUUGCUGAAUAAGAAUAUCCUGUAUUUACAAAAAGAAUAGUAACUCACAUCACAAGAACACCAGAAUAUUUCUUUGUAAUUUAUCUUAACUGUUUUCGGACGUUUGUUUUUCUGCAAAUGGUAGGACUUUUCACCAUAGUAAAACAUGUAUUUGUUUCAGUAUAUAUCAGAUGUAAUACUAGUCUUCAAUAAGUAACUCAAUGUUGAGUAAUACUAUUAUGUUUCUGAAAACACUGUAUUGAGAAAGAAGUGGAUCCCAAAAUCAAAACAAUAUACAGUUCAGUUUCUAAAUAAAACGUUGACCAUUGUUUUGAUUUAUAACUUACUGUAUGCUGAUUUCUAUCUCUGGAUCCAUAUAGCUAGCUUCUUUUGAUGUUUCUUUUUCCAGUGUUCUCUUUAUUUGGUGUUUUUGCUUUAAUUCCACCACUUAGUUGUCAGCUAGCAUUGAUGUGUUUGAUGGUCUUAUAGUUUUAAUUCAAGUUGUAGUGUUUCGUUAAUGCAUUGAGGAUUGAAAAUUUGAAAUUGGAUGAGAUGACUUUUAAAGACAAUUUUUAUGAUCAGGUUUGUUUUACUUUUCUUUUUCUCUUGAAAUACUGAUACCUAUGAUUAUGCAUCUUAGACAAUGAACAUGUUAUGUUAUUAAACUUGACUUUAAAAAAGUCUUUAUCACCACCGGAUACUUCAACUUGUUUAAAAGGUUUAAGAAAAAAACUAUUUCCUGAUUUAUUUGCUAGUUGAAAUUUUAGACCAUGAUAUAAGUGUAUGUCUUAUAUAUGAAAGUUUUAAGUUCAAUUAUUUUAUUAAUUUUAGAGGAAUAUUUAAAAAACCUUACAAUACUUUGAAUUAAAAAUCACAAAGAAAGGAAUUCAUGAAACAAGUUGUCCAACACAACUUGUAUGUACAUGAUGCAACAAUAUUCACUAGUAUACUUGAACAAACCAACACAUCUUGUAUAUUAGUGAUGCAUUAAUAUUCGCCAAUAUACUUGAACAAACCAACACAUCUUGUAUAUUAGUGAUGCAUCAAUAUUCACCAAUAUACUUGAACAAACCAACACAUCUUGUAUAUUAGUGAUGCAACAAUAUUCACUAGUAUACUCAAACAAAAUAUUACUGAAAGUAUUAUGAAUCAGCAGGAAUCCAGUAUAACUUUUUCAAACAAGAUUUAAGCCAAUGUAUAUGUGCCAAAUUUUUUCAAAUUUGUACUUAGUCAAAAAUUUUCCAAUUACUCUUUUUAGUGGAAAAUAUUCAUUCCAAACUAAAACAACAACCCAUUUUUCAGUAGAAUCAUUUUGUAAAAGCUUAAAUUACUCUCUUCAGGUUUAAUGUUAUCAAGAUCUGUGAGAGACAGAAGCAUGAGUUCACAACUAAUUAAACAGAAAGAAAUGACAUACUGCAAUUUUGAUGUAUUGGCAUAUGAGUGAGUGACUUGCUAGUUCAUCCAUGACUUUGAUAGAUGAAUGAGUGAGACAGAAAUGAGUAAUGUAUUAGCUCAUAAUUUGCAAGAUGAAUAGCAAAAAAUACAGUCUGAAGUACAGUGAUUCAAUAACAACACAGGUUGUGAUCUGUUUGAUUAAGACAGAUAAUUUGGAUUUAAAUGUUUUUCAAUUAAUAUUAUAAUACUAAUUGCCAAGUUUGAUGGUUAACAACAAGGUACUUUUUAGUAUAUAUUAAAACUUCAUUCUUAAAAAUAAACUUUCUUGUUUAUAUGGUUCAUUUUAACUUAUUGAAAAUUAAACACAAAAGCAUAACUCUUUGUGUAAAUCAAUGUGUGUGUGUGUUUACUCAGUAGAUAUUUAGGGAUUUAUUUUUUGGGGCAGUUAAUUAACUAGUUCUCAAAAUUGAAUGUCUUCUGUAUAAAGACAGUAUACCUAGAUAACUGUAGUGACUAUAAUGUUGUAGACCAGGUGUAACCAACAGUUAAUAGCUCAGGGAAAUAAAUUGCAAUGACAAGGGGGCAACUGUCAGAAUACUGGUAAGUUAUCUUUACAUCAGUACAACUUCUGGAUAAAGACAGUAUAUCUAGAUAACUGUAGUGACUAGAAUGUUGUAGACCAGGUGUAACCAACAGUUAAUAGCUCAGGGAAAUAAAUUGCAAUGAUAAGGGGGCAACUGUCAGAAUACUGGUAAGUUAUCUUUACAUCAGUACAACUUUUGACAGUCUAAUGACAUUUGUAUAAGUAAAUCCAGAUAGGUAUAGAAAGUAGUGUCUAUGCAGGAAUGAGAAAUAUUCAAAGACCUAAAUGAAUUACUGACUUGCAACAUGCUGGUUGGCCACCUCCUAUCGUAGAUGAAUAGGUUUAGGUUAACUAGUAGUACUAACUAAUACAUCUCUGAUAUUUCUUUACAACAAACAGGCCACCUCCUGUCAUAGAUGAAUAGGUUUAGGUUAACUAGUAGUAUUAACUAAUACAUCCCUGAUAUUUCUUUACAACAAACAGGCCACCUCCUGUCAUAGAUGAAUAGGUUUAGGUUAACUAGUAGUACUAACUAAUACAUCUCUGAUAUUUCUUUAUAACAAACAACUGUAGUUAAAAACUCCAACCUAGAAGCUUUUGGUGAAAUAUUUGAAAGGAAUAAGUGUACGUACUACUUGGAAAUUAUGUUUGUUUGCUGGAUUUCCAGGACACACUUAUUAAAGCUAGAUACUUCAUUGUUGUUUUUUUUUGUUCUGGUGAUUUUGCUUAGGGUUGAAUAUAAUUUACUAAAGUGCAACCUAUUUGUAAGAAACUUAAUCUGAUUGUGAAUUAAUAUUCUCUUUAUGGAAGUUUCUCUUAGACAACUACAACUACUUUUUUAUUUUCAACAUUUCAUGUGUUCUUUUAUCAUUGUUUUUCUUAUUAUCUGUUUCAGUUAUUUAGUUUUGCCCUGAUCAAUGCUAUUUAAACCUUUAAUUUAACAUAUUUACCUUUGAAGUGCACAGUUACUGAGUUUUUUUACUAUAUAACUUGCUUUAGUUCAGUUCCUAAAACAACCUUCAGUGUUUUUUUAAUCUAUUUGAUUUUUUAUACCACAGGCUCUCUGAUAUUUUUUGUAAACAUCUUUCCAAUGUAAAACUUCCUGGCUUGUCUGAAAGCUUUGUAAUGUAUACUCAUGUUUAGGUUUAUAUACUUUUUGUGUAUAUGUUGUUUUUUUUUCAUGUGAUCUCACUAAAAUUUGAGUUUCAUAUCUUGCAUACCAACUCCAGAUCUGAUGUAGCUUGUAUAGCUGAAAUAUAUUGUGGUGAUGUAAUAAACACUUUAUGUUUUUUAA